AUGCUUGUGCGGCUUCGAAUUGACUUUAUUUAGUAGAUACUGAGAUUUCUUGUAUAUAAAUAAAUAUCUUUUGCUGUGGUCCGAUGCAUGGUUUCUACAUUUGACACUGGAGAUGGCCAUAUUCCGUUGUGCUUAGAUAGAUCAUGGGAUUGUCCCUCAAGAUUUGUGCUUGAUAAUCAAAUAGAAAUUUGAGGCAUGCAUGAAAAGCAGUCGGAUGAGUAAAAUAUUGUCUCAUAUGAAAAGCGCUUCAAAUGGCUCUUCUCAGUGACUGCUGAUGAGGGACUGGCUCAGCCUUAUUGUCAAUUCAACAAUGAUAGUAUAAAUGAGCUCUUCACAGGGCUUUUAUUUCUA